rnacentral:rRNA from 1 species
GUGCCAGCCGCCGCGGUAAUACCGGCAGCUCAAGUGAUGGCCGAUCUUAUUGGGCCUAAAGCGUCCGUAGCUGGCCUCGCAAGUCCGUCGAGAAAUCCAUCAGCCCAACUGAUGGGCGUCCGGCGGAAACUACAAGGCUUGGGACCGGAAGGCUCGAGGGGUACGUCUGGGGUAGGAGUGAAAUCCCGUAAUCCCGAACGGACCACCGAUGGCGAAAGCACCUCGAGAAGACGGACCCGACAGUGAGGGACGAAAGCUGGGAUCUCGAACCGGAUUAGAAACCCCGGUAGUCC